GAAAGACUCCAGAAUGUGUUGAUUUUUGUCCCAAAGAAUAAUCACUAGUCAGAAAUGUUGAAUAUUUGGUUUAAAUUGGGUUUUCUACUUAUUGUUUGAGUGAAAACAAUGCCACAUUACACAACUGUGUGCCAAGAAAAGUUUUCCUUCAGUUUAUAAAAAAAGAAAUAAAAAAAAUAGUUCAUAACUGGAUUCAAACCAGGAACCUUUGGAGCCAUGCACCAUUGAC